CCUACGGGUGGCAGCAGUGGGGAAUAUUGCGCAAUGGGCGAAAGCCUUACGCAGCGACGCCGCGUGAGGGAUGAAGGUCUUCGGAUCGUAAACCUCUGUCAGCAGGGACGAACGGUCACUGUGCUAAUCAGCAGUGCAUUGACGGUACCUGCAAAGGAAGCACCGGCUAACUCCGUUCCAGCAGCCGCGGUAAUACGGAGGGUGCUAACGUUAAUCGGAAUUACUGGGCGUAAGGGGCUCGUAGGCGGUAUGUCAAGUCAAGGGUGAAAUCCGCACGCUCAACGUGGGAACUGCCUUUGAAACUGGCAAACUGGAGUGUGUGAGAGGAUAGUGGAAUUCCAGGUGUAGGAGUGAAAUCCGUAGAUAUCUGGAGGAACAUCAGUGGCGAAGGCGACUAUCUGGCACAUAACUGACGCUGAGGAGCGAAAGCGUGGGUAGCAAACAGGAUUAGAUACCCCUGUAGUC
rnacentral:rRNA from 1 species